CAAUAGGCGUACAUUAAAGUUGUUGCAGUUAAAAAGCUCGUAGUUGAACCUUGGGCUUGGUUGGCCGGUCCGCCUUUUUGGCGAGUACUGGACCCAACCGAGCCUUUCCUUCUGGCUAACCUUUCGCCCUUGUGGUGUUUGGCGAACCAGGACUUUUACUUUGAAAAAAUUAGAGUGUUCAAAGCAGGCCUUUGCUCGAAUAUAUUAGCAUGGAAUAAUAGAAUAGGACGUUAUGGUUCUAUUUUGUUGGUUUCUAGGACCAUCGUAAUGAUUAAUAGGGACGGUCGGGGGCAUCAGUAUUCAGUUGUCAGAGGUGAAAUUCUUGGAUCUACUGAAGACUAACUACUGCGAAAGCAUUUGCCAAGGAUGUUUUCAUUGAUAAGGAACGAAAGUUAGGGGAUCGAAGACGAUCAGAUACCGUCGUAGUCUUAACUAUAAACUAUGCCGACUGGGGAUCGG
rnacentral:rRNA from 1 species